rnacentral:pre_miRNA from 1 species
AAUACAUGUUGCUGUUGACUUUUAACAUAUGUUUGACCAUUUGUCUUAUUCAAAAAAUUUAUGCAAAUAUUAUUUAUUUUGUUAUGAAUUAGUUUAUUAGUAUAGAUAUUUUAAACAUGACUUGCAUUUUUAUAUAUUUGCAUAAAUUUUUUGAAUAAGACGAAUGGUCAAACAUGUGAUAAAAAGUCAAUGGCGACAUGUAUU